AUCACCCUGAAUCCCCGCUCCAGCACGUACCCACUGCCCGUUCACCUUCUCAUAACCCAUGCGAAUAAGGGAUCGUGCAGUGUAUGUGUCAGUGAAAAGUAGAUGCCUGGAGAUCUCUCCCUCUACAGAUAUAUCAUGCUGUCGGAAGAUCAGGGUGAGUAUCAUACCAUAAGGCAGGGAGACUCUGGAGUUGCAUAUAACCUUUCUCAUCUGCCUCAGUAUCAUAGCCGGGAGAUUCAGGGGAAUGCCCUGAAUAAUGUGCUCCAUAACAACCAGAUCUCGCUCAGAAAUGAG
rnacentral:lncRNA from 1 species